AUUAUUCACAAGUUUUUGUUUUUAGAGAUGAGAUUCUUUGUGAUAUUAAACUAGAAACAGACGAUUGUUGAAUUAUAUUCGGCCACAAAGUAGUUCUAGCAUCGGCUAGUCCAUAUUUCCGUCCAAUGUUCACACAUUUUUCAGAAAAAAAUCAAGAUCAAGUUACUAUCAGGCAGUUGGACUAUAGUGCCCUACAGCUCUUAAUAGACUUUAUUUAUUCUAGGAAAAUCUCGAUCACUGAAAAAAAUGUGAAGAUUUUGUUGCCCGAAUCGAAUCUUUUGCAGUUACAAGAAGUCAAAAACGUGAGUUGUGAUUUUUUACAGGCACAAAUAUGUCCUACAAAAGUUAUUGGGAUAAUAAUUGCUUUAGCUGAUUUACAUAGCUGUACGAAAUUGUUAACAAGUUCAGAAUUAUAUAUUCAACAACAAUUUUCGUACGAUAUAUGAUUUAUUAUCAUGAUUCUACAAAAAAUUGUAUUUAUUAUUGUUAAUACAUGAUUCAUAGGGAGGUGGUAGAAGGAAAUGAAUUCCUGUCCUUGUCAUCCGAGCAAAUAGUUAAGUUGAUCUCCAGUGAUGAACUUAAAGCUCCAUCUGAAGAAAAAAUAUUUGAAAGUGUUAUUCGGUAGGUAAAACAUGAUUUAGAUUCCAGAAAACAAAUUUUGCCCCAAUUAAUGGAACAUGUGCGUUUACCAUUAACAUUGAAAGAUUACAUAUCAAAAAAUGUAGUUGAUGAACCUCUUCUUAAUAAUUAUUUUAAAUGUAAGUUUAUUUACUCAAUAUGAUUUUUGACAGAUUAAUUUUUUUUUUAUAUAUUUAUAAUUUUUUAAGGUAAAGAUUACGUAUUCGAAGCAUUACGUUUUAAUUUUAUUAAGUCAGAAGAACUUAUCACAAUUCCACAUAACAUUCGGACAAAACCAAGACAGCCUGGUGGUACACACAAAGUUAUCUUAGUUGUUUGUGGAAGAGGGCACGGUAGUGUAGAGUUAGAUAGUACAGAAUGGUAUGACCCAAAAAUCAACCAAUGGCAGACUGGACCAAAAAUGAUUACACCACGUUACGCUGGUGGUCUAGCUGUAGUAAAUGAUAAUUUUGUGUUAUGUUUGGGUGGUAGCAAUUCCGAAUCAAUUUUACAAUCAGUUGAUGGGAUAGAUUUAUAUUCAGAUUCACCUCGUUGGAGACCAACCAAUGACAUGUUAAUUAAACGUCAUUGGUUUGCCGUUGGCGUGAUUAAUAAUUAUAUUUGUGUUGUAAGUUAAAUUUAAAUUUAAAACAAUCGAGGAAAGAAAUAGAGACAUUUGAUCAGUUGGUGUUUCGUUUAAGGGUUAGGCAUAUAUAAAUAACAACAUUGAACGCAAGCAUUAACGGAUCAAAUGGCUAGAAUAAUCUCAAUAAGAAAAUUAUACUAAUAUAGUCUCGUUGAUUUAGUCAAUAACGUGGAUUGUUGCUUUAAUAAUUAGCACAAUGGGCGUUAGGUAUUCAAUCAGCAAGGUUAAAAUAAAUACAACAGUUUAAUAAAUUUAAUUCAUUUUAAUGUUGAAAUAGAUCAGAAAAUACAAUUUUAAUUGAGUAAAUUACUUCUGGUCGGUACCUGUAAUAAUAAGAUAAAAGCACGCGAUAAUUAAAUAAUAUAG